UCUUUGCAACCGCAUGGCCUCUAGCCCACCAGGCUCCUCUGUCCUUGAGAUUCUCCAGGCAAGAAUAUUGGAAUGGAGUGGGUUGCUAUUUCCUUCUCCAGAGGAUCUUCCUAACCCAGGGAUCGAACCCACGUCUCCUGCAUUGCAGGCAGAUUCUUUACUG